AACCUGGUUGAUCCUGCCAGUAGUCAUAUGCUUGUCUCAAAGACUAAGCCAUGCAUGUCUAAGUAUAAGUAUUAUACAGCGAAACUGCGAAUGGCUCAUUAAAACAGUUAUAAUUUAUUUGAUAAUCGAAUUUACAUGGAUAACCGUGGUAAUUCUAGAGCUAAUACAUGCUGGUAGGCCCGACUUUUUGGAAGGGCGGUAUUUAUUAGAUAACAAACCAAUAUUCCUCUGGUCUAUUGUGGUGAAUCAUAAUAACUGAUCGAAUCGCAAGGUUUUUAACCGCGAUAAGUCAUUCAAGUUUCUGCCCCAUCAGCUUUCGAUGGUAGUGUAUUGGACUACCAUGGCUUUUACGGGUAACGGAGGAUUAGGGUUCGAUUCCGGAGAGGGAGCCUGAGAAACGGCUACCACAUCUAAGGAAGGCAGCAGGCGCGUAAAUUACCCAAUCCUGACUCAGGGAGGUAGUGACAAGAAAUAACGGACCGAGGCCUUCGGGCUUCGGGAUUGCAAUGAGCCGAAUUUACACCCCUUAGCGAAGAUCGAUUGGAGGGCAAGUCUGGUGCCAGCAGC
rnacentral:rRNA from 1 species